rnacentral:rRNA from 1 species
UACGUAGGGUGCAAGCGUUGUCCGGAAUUAUUGGGCGUAAAGGGCUCGUAGGCGGUCCAUCGCGUCGGGAGUGAAAGCUGGGGCUCAACCCCAGUCCUGCUUCCGAUACGGGUGGACUAGAGGUAGGCAGGGGAGGAACGGAAUUCCGUGGUGUAGCGGUGAAAUGGCGCAGAUAUCAGGAGGAACACCGGUGGCGAAGGCGGUUCUCUGGCCUUACCUGACGCUGAGGAGCGAAGCAUGGGGAGCGAACAGG